rnacentral:rRNA from 1 species
UGGAACUGAGACACGGUCCAAACUCCUACGGGAGGCAGCAGUGGGGAAUAUUGCACAAUGGGCGAAAGCCUGAUGCAGCAACGCCGCGUGAGUGAUGAAGGCCUUCGGGUCGUAAAGCUCUGUCCUCCAGGAAGAUAAUGACGGUACUUGAGGAGGAAACCCCGGCUAACUACGUGCCAGCAGCCGCGGUAAUACGUAGGGGGCUAGCGUUAUCCGGAUUUACUGGGCGUAAAGGGUGCGUCGGCGGUCUUUCAAGUCAGGAGUGAAAGGCUACGGCUCAACCGUAGUAAGCUCUUGAAACUGGGAGACUUGAGUGCAGGAGAGGAGAGUGGAAUUCCUAGUGUAGCGGUGAAAUGCGUAGAUAUUAGGAGGAACACCAGUU